CUUAUUCUCUUUUCAUUCAAUUUCGUGUCCUCAUUAAAAAAAAAAAAUUCUAGCCGGGCAGUGGUGGCGCGCGCCUUUAAUCCCAGCACUCGGGAGGCAGAGGCAGGCGGAUCUCUGUGAGUUCGAGACCAGCCUGGUCUACAGAGCUAGUUCCAGGACAGGCUCCAAAACCACAGAGAAACCCUGUCUCAAAAAAAAAAAAUUCUAGUCCCAUUAGUACUGCCUAUAGGCUCAGCUGUGUGGUCAUCCAGUGCAACACGUUAGAUCCCGGGGCCACAUCUUUAAAGAAAGCUCACUCUUACCCCCUGAUACUGUCAGUUACCAAUGGCUCCUCAGCUAGGUGUGGGACUUCAUUCCCAUCUCCCUUUUACAAAAAUCUUGGCUAAAAUUUUGUCUGAGUCAAACGUGCACAGGUUUUGUGCACGUUGUCACAACCACUGUGAGUUUAUACAUGCAAAUUUCCUCUUGUGUCUAGAGAAAACUGUUUCCUUGUGGUCUUCUCUCUCUUCUGGUCCUUAUAGGCUUUCUCUUCCCUCGUCUGCAAUGGUCACUGAGUCUUGGGAGGAGGACUGUGUGAUGCCCCAUGUUCAGCAUGUUCAGCAAGCUCAGUCACUCAUUCUCUGCACCCUGAUUGGUUGUAGGCUUCUGAAUUAAUUGCUUUUUACUGCAAAGAGAAGCUCCUCUGCCAAGGUCUUGGUAAUGCACUCAUCUGUGGGUUAACAAGAAGUAGUUAGGAGAUUGAUGACAUGUACCAUUAUCAGAGCAGUUGCUGUGGGUUCUUCCCUGGGGCCUAGGGCCAAUAGCCAAGGUUAUUGAUCCCCAUGUCAGCACAGGAUUCUGUUUCUUCCUGUCUUCCGGGACCUCAAUCCAAUCAGAAAGCAUCUGCUUAUUCCUAUGGCAUCCAUACCAUUGUAGUACAAGUGGGCAUGUCCUGUCAGGCGGGUUGUUUCUGUAGCUUGCAGGACCCAUAGCCACAUAAGACUAAUGAUUACUCUCUCCUCUAACACUUUGGAAACCAUUCAGUAGGGAUGAAACUUCCAGGUCUGUAUCAUCUCCAUUUUUCUAGGUUCUAUGAUUCAAGUAUGUGGUGCCUUUAGUUACAGGGUAUUACUCUAGAAUUUGGGAGGGUAACUAAUUCCAUUGGCAAUGGCCUCUAACAUUUGGGGACCUAAGAGACCUCACAGGCCAACAGCUCCAAGAAAGGUAACCUACUGCUGACUUUGGAUUUUUGUUUGCCUACAGUGUCUGGUAGUGGCAUUGCUACCCCGUUACAGUGCAGCUCCAUUUAAGUUCUUCCUCUGUACGUAUAUAUUUAUAUUUUAAGAAACUUCUUUACUACUGGUUCUUAUAGGACUUAAAGGUCUUUAGUGUUAUUUAUCCCACUCGAUUCCCUCCCUUAUUUCUAAGAAUUGUAAUCAUAACUUUUACAAAUAAUUUAAAGAAAAAGCCAAGUGCCUGGAGAGAAAAUUCUGAAAUCAUCCAAUCAUUUUAGGUCUCAGAUAUGUUCUGGAGUUUCUUUUAAGAAGAAAUUUAACUGCACUAAUUCAGAAUUACUGAACAACUUUGAGGUUUUUAUUUUUUUGGUAACUUGUCAAAAAUAAGUACUUUCUUAUAUUCCUAACUAUAGCAUGAUAAAGUUUAUAUUUUCCUUUCACCUGACAGUGUUCAAGGCACAGAAGUAGCAACCAAGAAUGUUGCUGUGCUUCCUCUUCCCAUCCUGAGAAGCUCACACUGGAGACUGCUACUCUUAGCUUAUGGGAUGUGGGAAGAGGAUGAUGUGCAGAGCCUGGGCUUUCAACAGCAGUCAGCAUCCUGUGACAAGGAAGGAGCCUGUGGAAACACCAGUGAAGCCUCAUCUACCAGAAAGGGCGUAAAGCAUGGAGGAAGUGUUUCUUCCCAACUUUGGAGAAGGUUUCAUGGAAGAGAAAUUCAUCACACCUAGCUGGUGAAUCGUACUGUGCUGCUCAAUGAGGUUCCAACUCAAGUUUUAGAGCCAAGCUUCCUCUCUGCAUCCCAAGAUCUGACACUGGAGGAGAAUAUUUCCCUGAGUUUGUGAAACUUCUUUGAGGAAACUUUCCAGGAUAAUGUGUGAUGGACAUGGCAAGGACGAAUGUUCCUGGUUACUGCUCAACAUGCAGAAGUGCUGUCCUUAAUGGCUCUGCACAGGUAUUCACGUGGUAAAUUUUCGUGAGCAGUCAGGACAGGAAACAAACAACAAGAUGUCUUGGAAGGGGAUACGGAGUUGCUGAGCCUUCAUUGCUCUCCUCAACUGGAUCAUGAAACAAGUUGGAUUUUUCUUUUUGUGGGAUGAUGGAUAAUGCAGAUUCAUUUUGAUCAUUGUGACAAUGAAAUAAUACACAAGGGAAACUGGAUGCCUACUUCAUUCAAACCUUACUGAUACAUGAUCUCAUCAUUCUGUUAAACAUGAUCUCAGACUCAGGCACUGAAGAGGUUCUUCUCUGCCUUCUCCUGAGAAGAUUUUGGUGAAGACAAGACCACAUACCUAGCUGAUGGAAUGCUGGGAAGAGUGUGAUGUGCAGAACCCAGGCUUGCAAAGCAGCCAGGCAUGCUGAAUGGAGAGGCAACAGCUUCUACUACAUGGAAAUGCAUGGGUUCUCUGAUAAAUCAGGUAUAUAUUGUUUCUACUAUGUGUCAAAUACAUUUGCUUAUUCUUUCUGGUCUGGACACUCCAGUAUUUGAGAUGAGCAAGAUAGUACAUCUGCAAGGAUUUUCAUACAUGGAUUACAUGAAUCUGGAAGCUAUAAUUUCUUAUUUGCUGUCCAAGCAUUUGAAGCUGCUGUGCUACAUAGGGACAAG